UACGUAGGGGGCUAGCGUUGUCCGGAUUUAUUGGGCGUAAAGAGCGUGUAGGCGGCCCGGUAAGUCCGCUGUGAAAGUCGGGGGCUCAACCCUCGAAUGCCGGUGGAAACUGUCGGGCUCGAGUGCGGAAGAGGCGAGUGGAAUUCCUGGUGUAGCGGUGAAAUGCGCAGAUAUCAGGAGGAGCACCAAUGGCGAAGGCAGCUCGCUGGGACGGUACUGACGCUGAGGCGCGAAAGCGUGGGGAGCGAACAGG
rnacentral:rRNA from 1 species